UACGUAGGGGGCGAGCGUUGUUCGGAUUUACUGGGCGUAAAGGGCGCGUAGGCGGCCAGCACAAGUCAGUUGUGAAAUCUCCGGGCUUAACUCGGAAAGGUCAACUGAUACUGUGCGGCUAGAGUGCAGAAGGGGCAACUGGAAUUCUCGGUGUAGCGGUGAAAUGCGUAGAUAUCGAGAGGAACACCUGCGGCGAAGGCGGGUUGCUGGGCUGACACUGACGCUGAUGCGCGAAAGCCAGGGGAGCGAACGGG
rnacentral:rRNA from 1 species